rnacentral:rRNA from 1 species
UGGGGAAUUUUGGACAAUGGGCGAAAGCCUGAUCCCAGCAAUGCCGCGUGUGUGAAGAAGGCCUUCGGGUUGUAAAGCACUUUUGUCCGGAAAGAAAUCCUUGGCUCUAAUACAGUCGGGGGAUGACGGUACCGGAAGAAUAAGCACCGGCUAACUACGUGCCAGCAGCCGCGGUAAUACGUAGGGUGCAAGCGUUAAUCGGAAUUACUGGGCGUAAAGCGUGCGCAGGCGGUUUGCUAAGACCGAUGUGAAAUCCCCGGGCUCAACCUGGGAACUGCAUUGGUGACUGGCAGGCUAGAGUAUGGCAGAGGGGGGUAGAAUUCCACGUGUAGCAGUGAAAUGCGUAGAGAUGUGGAGGAAUACCGAUGGCGAAGGCAGCCCCUGGGCCAAUACUGACGCUCAUGCACGAAAGCGUGGGGAGCAAACAGGAUUAGAUACCCUGGUAGUCCAGCGCCCUAAACGAUGUCAACUAGUUGUUGGGGAUUCAUUUCCUUAGUAACGUAGC